rnacentral:tRNA from 1 species
AGGUAUCUAGUAGGAAUUUUCUAUAUCCAAUUGCGGUUUGGAAGUUUUUUUACCUU